GACAGAGGGGGCAAGCGUUGCUCGGAAUUACUGGGCGUAAAGGGCGCGUAGGCGGGAUGGCAAGUCGGUCGUGAAAUCCCUCGGCUCAACCGAGGAACGUCGAUCGAUACUGCUGUUCUUGAGGAUUGCAGAGGAGACUGGAAUUCCCGGUGUAGCGGUGAAAUGUGUAGAGAUCGGGAGGAACACCGGUGGCGAAGGCGGGUUUCUGGGCAAUUCCUGACGCUGAGGCGCGAAAGCGUGGGGAGCAAACGGG
rnacentral:rRNA from 1 species